GACGAACGCUGGCGGAGUGCUUAACACAUGCAAGUCGAACGAAGGGGAGAACGGGUGAGUAACGCGUAAUCAACCUGCCCUUCAGAGGGGGACAACAGUUGGAAACGACUGAUAAUACCGCAUACUGAAGGAGAGGAUUGCGUCUGAUUAGCUAGUUGGAGGGGUAACGGCCACCCAAGGCGAUGAUCAGUCGCCGGUCUGGGAGGAUGAACGGCCACAUUGGGACUGAGACACGGCCCAGACUCCUACGGGAGGCAGCAGUGGGGAAUCUUCCGCAAUGGACGAAAGUCUGACGGAGCAACGCCGCGUGAGUGAUGACGGCCUUCGGGUUGUAAAGCUCUGUUAAUCGGGACGCGGUACCGGAAUAGAAAGCCACGGCUAACUACGUGCCAGCAGCCGCGGUAAUUC
rnacentral:rRNA from 1 species